ACAUCAUAAUGGGUAGGAAUAAGGAAAAGUACAAUAAUGAAAGUUUAAAAAAGAAAUUAGGAUAGGAGCACAAAUAAUAGAAUGGUAGAUCAAACCACUGCUAUAUUAUAUCCUUGUCUCCUCUAGAAGUGAUAAUGUAUUUAGCUCAAAAUCUUGGGCUAGAGUUGAACAACAUUUGACAAAGACCUAUAAACAGCCUUAAGUCCUGGCAGGUUCUUUUAUCCACAAAUGAGAGUAAGAAUUUCAUAUAAUUGUCUACCUUUAACCUUUGACCAAAGGAAGGACAUCACUAUCAUUAUGAACAAGUCAAUUGCCUAUCUCCAGAGAUUCAAUGUUUUUGUCAACAAAAUAAAAAAUUAUAAGUUGCAUGAUUAAAUGUCUACAAUAAGUGUCAAAGAAUGGGCAGUCCUUAUAUAACGUACUGCCCUUAAAUGAUGUGUAUUCCAUCAUAAAAUUAAUUUUCGGUACUUUGAAACAAAUCUAAGCAAAAGAAAAUUUCUCUUUUCUUUGUACUUUUGCUUGUGACUAGCUGAAUUGAUAGUUUGUGAAACCCAAUACAAGUAUCAUUCACUCUAGGUUCUGACAAUACUUCAAUUUUCUAAUCUAAUUAAACUCCUUAACUCAAAAACCAAGUAGAAAAGGAAAACAUUGUAUAUAAUAAAUAAUCAUUUUCUAUCUAAUAUCCAAUACUAUCCUCAAUCAAACAUUAAAUAUAAAAGAAUUUUGAAAUUUCGAGAAUGAUUUACCUCACAAUGUAAUUGAAUGGUUGCCCCAAGAGCCUCAGGAUCCUUCUCAAACAUCACCUCGACAAUUAUAAACUAAAGAAAAUUUUGUUAAUAUAUUGGUUUGGAAUAUUUAAGAAUAUGAAAAUAUGUGAAAGAAGAUAGACUCCUUAUAAAGGGAAAUGGGUAAAUUUCUUUCAAAAAUAUAAACCUGAGAGACAUUUUUUUUUUAUGUAUAAUAAUUUGAUUAUUCAAAGCUUCUACUGAUGCAACAACCCCAAUCUUAGAAGAACAACAAAAACUCAAAGAUCUUCUCAUCUGUCAUUUCUUGAAUAAUUGACAACUUAAUAAUCAAUAUUGUUCUCUAAAUAUUAUAGCUUAACAAUUUAACUAGGUUAGAUGCAGAACUAAUUCCCAUGUCUUUGUAUUCUAACUUUUAAUUUCAACCAUAAUAUUGAACUCUAUUUCAAGGUCAACAUUUGAACUAACUGAAAAUCUAUGCAUGAAUAUUUUGGCAAACACUUUUUGCACAAAAAACCCUUGACCUCUUCAUACUUACCUUUAAAUUUGUUUAAAUUCCUAGGAAUGGUUUAGUCGUGUUUUAAAGUUUAGGCAUCAAAGAGUGAUAGGGAUAGCUACUAAGCUAAGGGAACAAUUAACAAAUAACAAACCGAACUUAACCCAAACAAACAAUAAACUAAGCAACAACAAACAAUAAGAGCAUAAAAGGAUCCAUACAAACCCAGACAGAAUUAUGUUUCCAUCAAAUCAGGUACCUUGUACUAAAAAAUUAAACAUGUCUUAGACUAACCAUAACAUGAACAUCAUGUGGGCUCGCUUUGUGUCUUUUUCUCAUAGUUAGACACAUUUUUGAGAGAUGAAAAAGAAAUAAAAUUAGAAUUCAUAAAUUUUUAAAAAAUCGCGAAGGUGAAAAAUAGUGUUUAUAAUAUAAUGACAUUAGAAAAUUUCAAGAUAUAUACCUUCUCCAAAGUUGUAUUAUGGAUGAUGGUAUUGAUGUCACACCCCAAAAAUUGCUCUUCCACAUGAUCGUCAAUUUUUACUUCCUUUACCCUUGGUGUACUUGGGACUGUCUCACAAAAAUAUUCCAUCUGAGGGCAUUCUUCCACCUCAAAUUGUUCCAAGGAUGGGAAUUUGAAGAUGCAUCUAGUUGAGCAGAACCAUUUUAGACUUUGUAAGUUAACAAGUCUCAACCUUUGUAAUUUGGAGAAAACAAUAUCAUAUGGUUCUUCACCUCCCUCAUGUCCGACUAUUUCUUUCACUAAUUUGCAUUGUUCUAUAGUAAGCUCUUUGAGUUGCACCAAUGUUUUAGCUAUUGAGGAUGUCACCAAAUAUAUUAAAUUUUCACAACCAUGUACUGUUAGAGAAUGAAGAUUCUCAAAAAUUUGAACCAAUCCAGAUAGAUAUGUCAACAGUGGUAGAUCUUCUAGGAACAUUUUAGUUAAUCGUGGGAGUGUCUCAACUUGGUAUUCCUGAUUCACAAGUUCCUUCAUUUGGAAUACCUCUUCCACUGAAUUACACUUGCUCACAUAGAGUUCCUUUAGAUUAUGCAACUUUGGAAGCCUACUACAAGGGAUCACAACCAAAAUGUUGUGACACAUUUUUAUCUUCAAAACUCUCAGCUUGCAAAAUGACUCCCCCGAAAAUUGGCCUUGCCAUAUUUUCAUCGUGGAGCCCUUUAAGAUCAAUAGCUCCAAAUUAAGGAAUGCAUCCUGACAACCAAACAAACAAGAUUAACGAUAUGUCAUAUAUCUCCCCCCCCCCCCCCCCCAAAAGGAAAAAAAGAAUACUAUUAUGGCAUACACUUUUUUUUUCUUAUUAUUAUGACUUAUAACUAAGGACCAUGUUUGUUUACUUACCAAUUUUUUUUUUUAAAAAAAAAGCUAUAAUUUCCUUUCUAAUUCAUAUUUAAUUACAUGAGUUUAGUUUCUUUUUUAUGUAUUUCAUCCAACAGCCCAUGCCAAAAAUUAAGUUAGGGGAAGAAAAAUUUAGGAAUUAAUUUCAAGGAAAAAGAAUAAGAAAAAGAAUAAUUUGAGGGGGAAAAGAAAAAUAAAAAGAAAAAUAAAAUUACCUAUGUAGCUUGAUGGCUAAUCAACAUUGGCUUUACCACUAAUGUCACCAUUAAACACGUCACCAUUAAACACACACAUAUUAUUUUCCAUACAAGGGAUAAUGAACCACUACAUCUGAAUAAUCCAUUUGAAUUAUUUGCACUAUAUAUUAAUGACCAAAGACUCUCUCCUAAAUCAUUAGCACUUGACAUAUUUUGAUGCAAUAUAGAAAUUACUAUAUCUUGGUUUGAGAAUAAUUUAGAUAAAUCAAUUCUUAUGGUUUUAUAUAAAUUCUUUGAGUUCAAUAUUAAUGUAAGCAUAAUAUAAAAAAAGAAGCUUCAAAAUAAUUUAUUUUCAUUAUAGGUUCAAUCAUGUUAAUUUAAAUAAAUCAAUUGUUUAAAUUUAUUAUAAUUUGUUGGUUCUAUUACAUAAAAUCAUAAUUUGACCAUGAUAAUUCAUACUAAAUGAGUACCUAAAUACUUUGAAUAGUCAUAAAACAUAAAAGCAUAAAGGUAUAAUUUCACUGGCACUCAGCACUCUUUCAUUCCAAUGUGUAAUUGUUGGAUAAACCAUAAUGCAUGUUAUGCCUACAAACUCCUAUGACUUGUAAUUGACUGUUUCUUAUUCUUUGGAUUACCAAGUCAUUUUAGCGUAAUUUGAUUAAUUUAGAAAUGGAACAUAAGCUUACUUAGGUCAAUUUUGGAUAAGUUUUAUACAAAAUGUAGACUUCAAAUUCCAACACUAUUCAAGUUUAAGAUUAAAACAAUGUCAUAUUAAUGAAAAAUGAUUAGGACAUAGUGUUUAAUGGACUAAAUUUAGCAAUCCAAAUAUGGCAAAAGAAAUGGAGAAAAACCAAACCAUACCUUUUCCAACAAGAAGAAAGAUUGUUGAAUUGGACUAUCAAUAUAAUCAUCUGAAUCUAUUUCUUGAAAAAGUGUCUCCACUUGACCCGAUUUCCACAUAAUUAGGCUUUUCAAUUGUGGCCAUCUUGCAAUACGUGUUCCUCGGUAGAAACCUUUCAGUUUGUUUAAUCUUUUGAGUGUGAGAGAGGUUAGUUCAGGGAAUAAUGAGGACAUUACUUCAUCUACAUUUUCAUUUGCAACAAUUUCCUCCACUCCACAAUCUUUUAUCCCUAGGAAUUUAAGUUGCACGAGGCCUUCUGCCACCGUAAUGGGAAAAAUAUAUUUUAAACAACUACACCCAACGACUUUUAAUGACUGUAGGUUUUGAAAGGAGACAAGUCCUUGAGGAUCCUUAUUCCAUAUACUCUUCAAACUACACAGCCGACGUAAAUCCAAUAUUCUCAAUGGAAUGGUUUCAAUAUCAUGAAUUUCCUCGCUAUUUACUCCCCCUAGAUCAAAAAUCUCUUUUAUGGAUUGACAAUCAUCUAUGCUCACAUCUUCUAGACUUUGAAACCCUUUUAGGAUAUUGGAUGGAAAAACAUUCCGUAGUUCCGUGCAACGUAAUAAAUGCAAACUUCUCAAUUUGCACCAGGACUCUAGAGGAAGUUGGUUGUGCCAUAUUGCUAUCACAUUAUCCAUACCUUCUAUUGUCAAGUCCUCCAAGCUAGGGAGUGUAACCUGCGCAAUCGAUCACAUUCGGUUAACAAUAUGUAUACCCAUGUAUAUAUACUCGCAAUUGAGUUAAUAACCAAAUACAUAUAAAUAGAAUAUAAGAGGUUAAAGGUAAAGAUAUCAAUGUGACAAAGCACAAAACUAGAAGAAAAUGAAAGAGAAUGCACAAUAUUUUAACAAUUUAAUGGAAUUUAAAGACGUUAAAUUUGAGAUGAUUUUCAAAUAGGGCAAAAGGUUCCCAAUCUUUGGAUCUCUUUUUCAAAAUUGACAAAUCUUAAUGGAUUAUAUAUGUAUUUGAAGCACCCAUUAUAGUCAUCUACCGAUUUGUUUCAUAGAAUUAUGAGAAGUAUCUACUCUUUUUACCAUGAAGUGAUUCCAUUCAAAAUAUUCCACAUAAAUACAGUAAAAAUAUUAAAGCAGGGUGGUUGAAGAUCAGGUGGUUUAUGAUGAGGCCUUUCCUUCUAGUUUUUUCUUACUUUGGAAACCACAAAUGCAAUAGAUGUUCAAACAUGAGCCUUCUUCAUUCACUAAUUAACCUAUAGUCUUUAGAUUCUUAAAGCUUGUUUGUUAGUGUCACACACACACACACACACAUACAUAUAUAUAUAUAUAUAUAUAUAUAUAUAUAUAUAUAUAUAUAUAUUUUAAAAUUUACAAAAGUAUUUGAAAGUUGUUCUUGAAUGAAUUUUUAAAAACAAAGUAAAAUAGAGAAUUGUUUUUAGAAAAUAAGUAGAAGUUACUUUCAUCUAUUUUUAAAAACAAAAAGAAACCAUCAACAAAUAAAAAAUAUAUAUUUUUAAAAGAAAAUCAUUAAAAAAAAUAAAGUAUAACAAAAUUUCAUGCCUCUAAAUUACACAUUUUUUUUUCUAAAUUUCUUUUAACUUAAAUUUUUUUACUAUACAAAUAGAUUCUAAAUCAAGUGAUAUAUAUAAUUACUAAUUUUUAAAAAUAAUUUUAGAAUAAAAAAACUAAUGCAAUAAAUACUAGAAAAUCAUGGAACUUAAAAUCAAUCUAACUAAUAUUAAAAAAUAACAAUUUAAAUCUAAUCUUGAAUGACUUUACUAAUUUCUUCUUUACAAUAACUAUAUUUUUUUAAUAGGUAAAUAAACCCCAAAUCAAAGAAGACUUGAUGUAUUGGAAUCUGAAAAGUUUAAUAAUAAUUUAAAACUUAAAUACUAAUCUAAUUAAUGCAAACGAUUUAUGAAUGAAAAUCGGCUCAAAACAAAUAUAGACAAAUAAACUCUAAAUAGUGUAAGACUCAAUAUUUAGAUUCUCUACCAAGUCUAUUAAAUUUAAAAAGUGAUUUAUGAUUCAUAAAAUAACCCAAUCACCACUAGAAAUUCAACAACUAAAACUAGUCUAAAACAACUUUUUUUUACUCCUCUUCCAUAUAUAAUUAUAUUUUAAUGAUUUUUUUAUUAGAAAAUAAAUUUUAAAUCAAAUAAGACUUAAAAGUUUUAGAUUUAUUAAUGAGUGCACUCAUUUUUAAAAAUAAUCUGGAACUCAAAAAUAAGUUUAAACAAUAAUUGAAUAUAAUAGACCAAAACUAGUCCAAAAUGAGUCAUGAGAUCUAUAUUGUUUCUCCUUUGCACCUUACUAUACCUUUCCAAUUUUUCUCAUGAAGUAAAUAAAUUAAAUAAAGUGAUAUCAAAACUUAAUGUUUUACAUUCUAUAAUGAAUCUAUUAAUUUUUAAGAAUAAGAUGGAAUUAAAAAAAUUGACUGAAUGAAUUUUAAAUCAAUCAAAAUUGGUUCAAAAUACUUUAUUCAUUAUUGAGUAUUGAAAAAAUCUAACUUAUUUACAUAUAUAAAAAAAAUUAAACUUUAAUUUUUAAUUUAUUUUAAAUAAAAUAAUAUUAAUCAUUAGUAUUUUUAAAUUAUAACCAUUCAUUUUUAACAAAAAAAUCAAUGAUGCAUUUAUAAAAAUGUUGAUAUCCAUAUUUUAAAAUUUAUAUUAAAAUGGCCCAAUUUCUAAAUUAAAAAAAAUAAUGAUUUUAUUAUAAUAUUUGUGUCCAUAUUUUAUUACAAACCAUUUAUUUUGUUAAUUUAUUAGUAAUUAAAAAAUUUUAUUUCCAUUAGACUUGAAUUAAAUCAAAUUAAUAUUAUAUAAAUCAACCUUACAAUUUUAUUUUAUUUUUACAAAAUCUAAAUAUAACAUUUAUUUUUAAAAACAACAAAAAUUAAUAAACAAACGAGUUUUUUUAUUUUUUGUUGUUUAAAAAGUGUUUUUAAAAACAUUUCAAACACUCUUUAUUUUGAGAACAAAAAAACUAGAAAAUUUUUUGGCAACUACCAAAAAAAAAAACCAAUUAUGCUCUCCAAAACAUAAAACAUGUGUUUCCUGUGAGCAUAUUUUAGUUAUUUUAAUUGUUUUCACUAACUUUUUUUUGUUUAUUUAAAAAAAAUAAAACAAAUAUAAAGAAUAAUAAAAAAUAAAACAUUCCACAUAAAAUUUCUUCUUAAAAAAUAUUUGAAAACAUUGUAAGUUGUUAAUAUACCUAUCAAAAAAAAUUGUAAGUUAUUAAUGUACUCUAGAAAACAUCAUAGAAUUAUUUUAAAAAUUGUUCUCAAAAAUUGAUUUUUGAAUAAUGUAUUUAAAUUGGUGUUGAAUUAAGAUUAGCAGAGAGACUAGAAAAGAAAAGGAAAGUGAUAAAAUUUAUGGGGCAAAGCAUACUGCAUCCAUAUUAUGGAUAAAAUUAAGAUUAUUUUAAAUUGGGUACUGAUUGUUUUAAUUUAUGUUUUCUCAUAUUUUACUUAUUUAUUAAUGGCAGAAAUUGGAUAUCAUUCAAAUUUUAACAUACCUGUUCAUUGAAGAAUGGUGUGGGAACAUCGGUUCCCGUAAAGAUGAAGUCCCGUGUCAAAUCCAAGGAUCCCAUUUGACGAUUCACCCAUCGAUCCCUUCCUUGCUCCCUCGGAAGGGAUAUGAAUGAUUUCAACCUCAUACAAUACUUCACUGUUAAAGAACGUAACUUCCCAAAAGAUCCCUCUGGAAUUGGGCCACAGCAUACUGCAUCCAUGUUCUGGAGUCCAGAAAUAAACAAUGUCUCCAAGAUAGGAAAGGCACUGUGUAUUGAAUCAACAAUGUAUUGAAUCCCAGGACAACGAAUUAUAGAGAGAUACUUGAGUUGAAGAAAACCUUUGGUAUCGAGCUCGUAAUCCAACUUAAACAAUGUUAAAUCUUCGACUGUCUUGAACAGCUUGGAAAAGCAGUCCACCAAGCAAGGUUUGUUAACCCUCCAGAGCUUCAACGUUCUUGCGGAUCUAUUAUGAUAAUCAACAACACAGUCUGCCUCGGGAUCCACUGAUAUCACAUAUCUGGUAAGCUUCUCAAAGACCAGAUCUGCUGAGAGCAAAUUGGGAUCCGUUAUUUCUAUACAUAAAGUCUUCAAAUAGGACAAGUUGUUCAGCUCAGAAAGGCAAGCAUUAUUGCUUUCUCCACUACCAAAUCCUUCAGCCCCCCAUUUGGUAAAACUUUUUACUAAACAUAAAUGCUCCAAUCGAGAUACACUUGAUAUGACAUUUUGGGGAAUUACUUCGAGAUCAGAGCAAUCCCACAAGUCCAGCGCCCUUAGAUCAGUCAAUUGCAUGAAUUCUUUCGGCAACCGUUUAAUUUUGCAACUUUCAAAACUAAGAACUUGUAGCUUCUUUAGUUCUCCGAUUACUGCUAUGUCUUCGAAUGUGCAUCGGUAUACACGCAAUGUUCGAAGAUUGGAAAGAAAACCAAGUGAUGAAGGCAGUCGUGUAAGACACACGUUAGACAAGUCCAAAACUUUUAGUAGUUCCGUCCCUUCAAAAAAGGGGUCUGGAAUUCCCAAAGAUUCAGCAUCACUAUUCAAUACAAAGAAUUCAAGUCUGGGGCAUACCAAUCUUUGUGGAAGCUCAUGGAGAUUUUUGCAAUUCAAAGAUAUACGACUGCAAUUUCUGAACUCCUCCUUCCUUUGCAAUUCUUCUAAUCCAAGAGCUUCUUUGAUCACAACAAAUCGAUGAGGACCUUCUGCUGCAAUUGCUCUGGCAACAUCACCAACAACAUCAUGCAUUCUGACAAACCUGUUUUCAUAAUUGUAUCCGAAAAACACACCUGGCCACUCAAAGAAAUGUUUAUUUUCAACAUCAAGCAGCAAGCUUGAGUCUUUGAGGAUUUUGACCAAUGUCACUAGUUUAUUUGUUAUUUGCUCCAAUGAACUCACGUGUUCAAACAAAUCCAAACCCAUGCCACAUUUUAACAAUUGAUCCAUUGAAAUAUCACCAUAGCCCAGCAUACCACAAAGUAAGAACAAACGCUUCACUUCUUCACUUUUCAAGUGGUCGUAGCUCAACUGCAGACAUUUGUAUACUUUAUCAUCCACGUCCUCGAUGUUGGCUGGUGCAGAAUUCUCCAGUUCUAGCAAAGCAUUGUUCCACACAGCCUCACCACUCUCGCCUUUUAACGCCUUUGCAACUGUUACAAUGGCAACUGGUAGACCAUCACAUUCUCUAAGUACUUUAAUUGCUAUGGAUUUAAGCUGCUCCACUGAAUCACCUGCUGUCUUCUUAAAUAAACUCCAGGCUUCCUCUUCACAUAAAUGUUGAACAUGGAAGUUUAUCUGAGUACCCAUACUUCUAGAUAACAGACCCUGGCUUCUGGAAGUCAGCAGCACUUUACACCCCCUCUGAGCAUCUCCACAAGGAAUUCCGAUUUUUUCCAACAGAAGUUCCCCCCAAAUAUCAUCCAAAAUCACCAGGACCGUCUUGUGUUUGUUCAAACUUCGACGUAAGCGGUGUGCUCUUUCUAAUUCCCCUUCCUGCUCAAAUUUCAACCCCAAAAUACCUGCAAUAUCUUCCUGAAUUUUUGUCACAUUUGGAAUUUGGGAUAUAUUUAAUGCCAUAACCACCUUUUCAAAUAACUUAUCUUCCUCGGCAUUUUUCGCUACUUGAUUGGCAAGGGUGGUUUUGCCCACACCGCCCAUCCCCCACACACCAAUCAUCCUGAUAUCAUCAUUUCUCAAGGCCUCCAUAAUUCGGUUUAAAAUAGAUGCUCUCGAUACCAAAGGUUCACAAUCUCUGAGGCGUGGAGACCAUAUCCCUUGUAGAGGAGGGCGAUAUGAUACCCUGGUAAAGUUAUUUUCUUCUUGGAGUUCACCAAUAUCCUCAGACAGCUCCUUCGCUUGCCUGCUUCGCUGGUACCCCAACUUUAAAUUGAAACACAAACAGCUCGUGUUUUCAGCGUUUUCAUCUUGAAUCAAUUCCCUUGCCCUUUGGAUGAUCUCUUCUGUACGUGUCAGCCAAUCCCGGACAUCAUUUUCGAUAUCAUCCCCUUGCCUAUUAGCCUCAUCCACAUCGUGCUGCAGCCUCUCCCUUGCAUUACCCAGCCUCUCAACUUGUUCCACAAGCUCAUCAAGGUUGCUACGAUAGUUAAACAGGUAACCCAGUUGACGUACAAUUGGAUCAACCAGGUACCCUGCAACUUUUCCUGCAACAUUUGCUGCAGCGGACAUAAGAAUUGCUGCCAUUUUCCAAGUUUUCUUUCUCUGGAAAUAGAUGGGAAUUGAGCAAAAGCAGAAAAUAAGAAGGGCCUCAGGAGAAGGAAAACACCACAAAAGAAAAAUGGUAAUUAAUUGAGUGUGACAGAUGAAAAUAAGGAGAUGAAAGGUUCGAGGUAUCCAAAGGGCAGAGUAGGUGGAAGGUUUUAGCUAUGAAGGAAACAAUAAUUUUUUUUAUUUUUUAUUUUUUGUUUGCAAGAAGAGGAGAGGAGGAGAGGAGAAACACAAAGCAGCAAAAUGGAAAAUAAGAUUGAUUACUUGAAAGAACGAGUGUGAAGGGCAUAAAGUAUGAUGAGUUGAUAAAAUGAGAAACGGGCUACAGAGUGGAGACUGAGAAAGACUCAGAAAAGCGCUGCAGAGUGAAGAGACUGAGAAAGACUGAGAACAGUGUUAUAGAGUGAGGAGAAACACAAAGCAGCAAAAUGGAAAAUGAGAUUGAUUACUCGGAAGAACGAGCGUGAAGGGGAGAAAGUAGGAAGAGUUGAUAAAAUGAGAGAAGGGCUACAGAGUGGAGACUGAGGAAAAGGGCUGCAGAGUGAAGAGACUGAGUAAUAUCCAUCAUUGACAAUGACUCAUUUUAGUUUUAGUCGCACAUCACAUGUUUGAAUUUGGCAACCAAGACACCAAAACAUUUAAUACCUUAUGCAUUAAAAUAUCAUCUUGAUUCAAACACUUUCAUCAAUCCAUUUCUUCCAUUUAUAAUAAAAUAUUUAUACAAUUAUUUUUUAAAAUUACUCACACCAAACAAAGUAAAAAUAAUAAACUUUAAAUAAUUAAAAUAUAUUUUUAUAAAACACACUGUUUUCGUAAUAAAAUCUUAAAAAAUUAUAUUUUAAAAAUAUUUUUUUAGUAUGAAAAAUAAUGUUUCAAUUUUUAAGAAAUAAAAGUGUUUUUAAAAAUAGUUAAAAACUUGCUCGAAAGUUUUGAUUGGUCGGUGGUUUAAUAAGCAUAACAACCUGUCAUCCUUGUGUUUUCAAUUAAAGCAAAUAUCUUUGGACUUGGAGUCCUUGCUUGAGUGUAAGGAGGUAUUAUUAUUGUGGACCCUACUGUCCACUCUAAGCUGAAAAUGUGUGGUUUAUGUUAUUAGCAGGCUUUUCAAUCAUUCUGACAAAUAAAAAUGAAGAACUUUGAGCGGCUAGAAGAAGUUGAUGAUCCAAACCAUAAAUCGAAGCUCAACCCGAUCACUCUAAAUAAUCAAUUCACACCCUACCCACUCUCAUUUCUUUUUCAAGUUUAGGUUGAGUUGGGAAUGAUUAGAUUAAAUUCAGAUUAAUUAGCUAGUAUAAUUUAAAAUUUAUUUAUACUAUUUUUUAAAAAAAAUUGUAAGAUAAAAUUUUAAGAUAACAAAAUAAACAAAUAAAUUUGCAUAUUUUUUUAAAAAUAAAAAAGUAUAUGAUGUAAUAUAUUUUGAUAUAUUUUCUCUUAAAAAUCUUUAUUUUAUCGAUUAAUAUACAUUAUAAACAUUAAAUUGGGUUCGAAUUAGAUCUUAAUUAUAUGAAUCUUGGCUUGGACACAAUCCAAAUCUAACUCAAACAAAAAAAACCUAACUCAACCCUAGUAUUAUUAACUCAAACAAAAAAAAACCUAACUCAACCCUAGUAUUAUUAACUCAAAUUGAAAAAAUCUAAGAGUUGGAACACAAUCCAAAUUAUACUUGGAUUGGAAAAACCUAAUUUAAUCAUAGUAUUAAAAAUUAUUAUUCAAACUCAUUUAAACAUUAAAUUAGAUUUGGAUUUGAUCAAGUGUAUAUGUCUCGGUUGUACAAAAAAAUAGUUUUUUUUUAAAUAUUUUUGAAACGAAUUCUCUAAUAUUUCAUAGAAUAAAAAUUUGGUUAAACCCCUAAAAGGUAUGAACCUAUAUUUUUCAAUAUAUUUUAAAAAAUAGUUCUUAUAUAGAUUUUACUUUUAAUUAUAUUUUAUAUUUAUAUCAUAAUAUAUUUAAAAUAAAACAACAGAAAGUAGUACAAAUAUGUUUAAAAAAUACCUUAUUUCAAGAAUAAAUUCUAAAAAAAUGGUUUUUUUAUCAUAAAUUAUUAAAUAUAUUUUUGAGUGUGAAAAAUAGUUAAAACUCUUUUUUAAAACCAUUGAAAACAAUCAAAACAUGCUCUAAGGUUUUGAUGACGCAAUCGUUUAGAAAACACAACAGCCUGUGAUGCUUGCACAUUUGCAACAAAGCAAGUAUACUCAGCCUUGGAUUUCUUACUUAUUAUUGUUGACCCUACUCUCUACUCUAAACUGAAAAGUUGGUUACAUUAUCAGUUGGCUCUUCAAUCAUUCUGACGAAGAAAUUGACCAAACAAGAAAAGAGAAAGAGAGAGAUGGAUGGAGUUACAGAACACGUGAUUGCAUUCUCUGCCACUAAAGCAAAAUUAUAUUUUAAAGAAAUAAAUUCAAGUUGAAGUCUCAAUUGAAACUUCAUUUAUAAACUAAAGUCGUAAUUAGUAAUCGAGAAUUCAUUUUUAAAUUAAAAUUUUAAUUACUAAUUGAGCUUAAUUUUUAAAUUGAAACCAUAAUUGAUAAUUGAUAUUUUAUUUUUUAAUUGAAAUCUCAAUUAUAAAUUGAGGCUUUAAUUUUUUUGUUUUACUUUAAAAUUUAAUUAAAAAUAUUAAAUUACAAAUUGUUAUUAAAAUUAAAAAAAUAUAUUUUAAUAAUAAAAAUUUUAUAUAUUUAAACUUAAAAAUCUAGUAUUAUUUCAAUAAAUAUAAAUUGAUAAAUAUAAUAAUAAAUAAAUAUUUUAAGAGCAUUUAAUUUUAAAAUCAAUUUUUGAAGGUAGAUAAAAUUAAGAUUUUAAAAGUACUUGCAUUAAAUUUAUUAAUUUAAAUUCACAAUUCCCAUCAUAUUACAUUAAAAAAAAAACUAAUAUUUUUUUACUAAAUAUAUAAUAAAAAAGUACAUUUUUGUUUAAUUAAAAAUUUAAAUCAUUAAAAUUGUUUUUAUUUUAAUAAAUAAUGUUUUAAAAAGUAUAUUAUGUGUGUGUGUGUUUUUUUUAUUAUUUAAUAGUCAUUAUCAAAGUCAUAACAAUGACAAUAAAAAAACUCAAUAAAUUAGUACAUCCUACUACUUACGUUGAUAUUUUAGUUAUUAACAUUGUUAUUGUUAAAUAAAGACAAUGUCACUAUCUUCAAAUGACAUAUUUGAUAUGGAGGGCAAAACAGUGAUGAAUAAUAAAUAGGUCAGUACAUUCUUUUAUUUACAACAAUAUUUUUAGUUACUAACAUUGUUACUUAUAGAUAAAAACUAUAUUGUUAUCUCCAAUGGAUGCAUAUUUGAUGUAAAUGUUGAAAUGGUUAUGAAUAAUAUGAGAGCUACAUAUGUGGGUCCCAUUAAAUAUACUUACCAAUUUGUCUUGACAACUCACCUUUAAUUGGUUAAAGAGCAUUUUCGAGCAUAAUUUUUUUUUUUUUUGUCAAAUACUUUCCUUGAAAUAACCAUUUUUGGGUUCCAUUUUCUUCUUUUAUUUCAUAAUGUACCAUGUUCACAUAAUUCUCCCAAAUAUAUUUUAAUAAUAAAAUUUUUAUAUAUUUAAACUUAAAAGUAUAAUAUUACUUCAAUAAAGAUAAAUUGAUAAAUAUAAUAAUAAAUGAAUAUUUUAUUCAUUAAUAAAGUAAUAAUAUUCAAAUAAUAAAAUUAUAUAACAUAUGAAUAAGAUAUAAAAUUAUAUAAUUUAUUAAUUUAAAAUAUUUAAUUUGUUAUAUUUUUAAGAUAUUAGUUUGUUCAUAUUUUGACAAAAUUAUCUUUAGUGAAAAAAAGUAGUAUACUCUUAACUUUUCAUAUAUAGAUUUUUUAUUAUUUUAAAGCAUAUGUUUAUAAUUUUUUCAUUUUGUGUAAAAAAAACUAUUAUUUAUAUGCCUUCAAGAUAAAUUUUGAAAUUAGUUAACAGAAAGUCUAUUAAUAAUUUUUAGUAGUUUUAUCAAAGUUACAAAAUAUAUGGGAAAAAAAUGUCUCUCCCUAAUUAUAGCAAGUACUAUAUGUUAUAUAACUUAAAUUAAUAAAUUAUAUAAUUUUAUAUUUUAUUUAUAUAUCAUAUAACUUUAUUAUUUUAAGAUAAUUAAUUUAUUGAUAAAUAAAAUAUUUAUUUAUUAUUAUAUUUAUCAAUUUAUCCUUGAAGUAAUAUUCGAUUAAUUAAAUUUAAAUAUAUAAAAUUUUUAUUAUUAGAAUAUAUAUAUCUAUAUAUAUAUAUUUAAUUUCUAACAAUAAUUUAUAAUUUAAUACCUUUUAAUUAAAUUUCAAAGUAUAAAAAAAAUUAAUUGAAGCUUUAAUUAUUAAUUACGAUUCUAUUUAAAAAAAAUGAAGCUCAAGUGAUAAAAAAGGGUUUCAAUUUCAAUUUUUAUUUUAUUUAAAAAAAGAUAUUUUUUAUGAUAGGACUCUAACAGUAAAAAGACUAAUUUAAACAUAAAUUUUGUAAAGGGUUAAACUUAAUAUUUUUUUUUAUAUAAAAGGCUAUUUUCCGCCCAAAAACUCAAAGUAUGGUCCUGGAAGGCAUGUCGCAGUGGUAGGGCCCAAAGGACAUAGUGACAUUUUCCUGGCAAAAAGAGGCAGAAAGGUAUGAUCAUUUUUAAAUAUUUUUUUUAAAAAAUAAUUCUUAUAUAUACGGUUUUAUUUUUAAUUAUUUUUUAUAUUUAUACCAUUAUAUAUUUAAAAUAAAAAAAAGAACAAAUAAAAACAACGGAAAGUAGUACAAAUAUAUUUAAAAAAUACCUUAUUUCAAGAAUAAAUUCUAAAAAAAAAAAUGGUUUUUUUAUCAUAAAUUAUUAAAUAUAUUUUUGAGUGUGAAAAAUAGUUAAAACUCUUUUUUAAAACCAUUGAAAAUAUGCUCUAAGGUUUUGAUGAGGCGGUUAUUUAGAAAACACCACAGCUUGUGAUGCUUGCAUUUUCAAGCUUAGCAGGUAUAUUCAGCCUUAGAUUCCUUCAUGAGUGAAAGUAGUUAUUAUUAUUGGUUACAUUAUUAGUUGACUUUUUAAUCAUUUUGACAAAGAAAGUGAUUAAACAAAAAAAGAGAAAGAGAGAUGGAUAGAGUUAUAUUAAAAAUUAAACUAGUGAAAAGUUUUUAUCAUGUCAUUUUUUUUAUUUUUUUAUUUUAACACUACCUGGAAAUCAAUAUUUUGAUGAGACUCGGCAUGCACAUCAAAACUAUUUCAAAUAAAUAUAAUAAAAGACUUGGUUGAAGAUUAUACUAUAAAAAAUGACUUUAUAUUUCAUAUAAUAUUGCAUAAAAAAACUCAUCUGUAUGGCUCCCAGCUCCCAAAUAAGUCAUGUGGAUUAGUUCAGAGGUCCAUUUCUUAUAUAUAUAUAUAGAAAGAGAAGACAGUACUGACGGUGGAUUGGAUAAAUAUUAAAAUAAUUUUAAAUCCAAAAAUAUUUUAUUCAAAAUUAAACUAAGGAAAUCAAUACAGUGAUGACAUCAUCCACUCUUUUAAAACUCCUGAAAAUAAACCCCAUGCGUACUUAUUAUACUAAUUUAAAUAAAUAUAAUAAAAGACUUGGUUGAAGAUUAUAUUAUAAAAAGAAGACUUUAUAUUUCAUAUAUAAUACACAAAAUCUUGUCUCUGUAGGGCUCCCACCUUCCAAACAAGUCUUUGGAUUAGUUGAGAGGUCUAUUUCUUUAAGAAUAAAUUAGAGUGAUGCUUUGAAAUUUAGCAAAAGUUACCAGUAAACCAAUAUAAAUAUAGAUAGUUGAGAGUAUAGAUUAUGGCUCCUACCUCCCAAACAAGUCUUUGGAUUAGUUGAGAGGUCUAUUUCUUUAAGAAUAAAUUAGAGUGAAGCUUUGAAUCUUUAGCAAAGUUACAAGUAAACCAAUAUAAAUUUAGAUUAGUUUAGAGUAUAUAUAUAUUAUAAUAACUUAAUAUAAUUUAAUAAAUUGAUUUAAAUCAUAAAUAGAUUAAGCAUAUUUUAUUAAUAUAAUUAAUUUAUUCUAAAUCCUAAAUAAAUAUCUUUUACCUUAAUUGCUCACAUCUUGUGAGAAUUUCUUUUAUAUUCAUAUUCUAUAUUUAGGAAUCAUUUUUUAAAAAUAAAUAUUUGAUAGUAGUUUUCUAUUUCUACAAGAUUUUUAAUAUGAUUGUUUAACAAAUAAAUGUGUUAUUUAAAAUUAAUGAAAGUAAAUAUUGAUUAAAAUUAGUAAGGAUAAAAUUAUAUUUAUUUAUAGUUAUUCUAACUUCACUUAUGAAAGCGUCAAUUGAAAAGGAAUUUUUUUUUCAAAUACAAGGAAUUUUCUCAAAAAAAGUGAAAGUUUUCAUGGAUAGAUUAAUCUUUUAAAAAAUAAUGUUAUUCCAUAAACCCAGUCUUACAAAAAAAAAAUCAUAAAUGAGAUUUUAAAAAUAUAAAUUAUUUAUAAAUAUAUUUAUAAUAUUAUUUUAAAAUAUGUUUUAUUAAUAGAAUGUGAUAAUAAUUGAGUCAAGUCACUGAUGUCAAAAAGCAAAUAGAUACUUAGAUAAAUCUUAAAAGAAAAAGGAUGUUAAGUUAAAAAUUAACCUAAUAAAAAGUUAUCAUCAUAUCAAAUUAUUUUAUUUUAACACUAUCAGGAAAGCCAUACUUUGAUGUGACCCAUCAUCAACUAUUUUAAACCUCUAAAAAUAAACCCCAUGACCUGGAACGCACGUUAAAUUAUUUCAAAUAAAUGUAAUAAAAGACUAGUUGAAGAUUAUAUUAUGAAAUAAAACAUUAUAUUUCAUAUGUAUCACACAAAAACUUGUCCAUAUGGCUCCCAGCUCCCAAACAAGUCACAUGGGUUCAGAGGUCUAUUUCUUUAAGAAUAACGUGGAAUGAUGCUUUGAACAUCCAACAUAUGUAAGAAAAGACAUUCAGCAAAUUGAAAUCAAACAUAAUAAAAGACUUGGUCCAAGAUCAUGUAUCUUAUCGAAUAAAAAAUGACUUCUUAUUUUAUAUUGUAUAUAUCAAAGUCGUGAAGGCAAAUCAAACAAUUUAUAUGGUUUAUAUUGAAGUCGUGAAGGCAUAUCAAACAAUGGAUUCAUCGAAUCUUCAUAAAAAUGCAAAAUCUAAUUUUACUCAAAACUUUUCUAAAUGAAUUAAGAACUAUAGAGCAUGUUUGCUAAUUAUUUUUAAAAAUAAUUUUAGAAAAUAGUUUUUUUAAAAUGGUUUUUGAAAACUAUUUUUAAUAUUUUGUAUAACAAAAGUCUAUUUAAAAACUUGAAAUGUUUUAAACCUAUUUUUAAUAUUUUUAAAAAUAAUUUUUACAUCUAACAUUUUAUUUUGAAUAAUUUUACAUAUUUGUAUAAUUAUUUUUUAAAACAGUUAUAAAAAAAUAAUUUAAUGUUAUUUGAAAAUAUUUUAUUUUUUUUGUUCUUUAAAACAUAAAUAGAAAACGAUUUUUGAAUGCUAAAUAUGUUUUCUUGACUUUUUAUCAUAAAGAAUAAAAAACUAUUUUUAAAAACAAUUGUUAAACAAACUCAUAGUUUAUAAAUAAAUAUGCGAAAAUGUCAUAAUUUGAAAUUUUAUCACAAUUAACAAAGAAUUAGGGCAUGUGAAAGAAAAAAAAUCUUAAUAGGGUCAUGAUCCAAUGAAAGUAGUGUAAAUUCCUUAUAUUGCUAAAUAUAAAAUGUAGGGGUUACCUUUUUGGACUCCUACGAAAAGGAUGAACUAAAAUAAGCAAAACAAGAGAGAAGAUAUUAUAGUAGUAAAAUAAUCACUUAAUUUUAAUAUAGAGCCAAAUAACUCAUUGUUUUAUUUAUUUUUACAAUAAUUUGAAUAUGGACAUAAAACUUUGAAUUCAACAUCAUGAAUUUAUGGACCAUUAGUUGAUUUUAAGAGGAUUAGAAUUGCUUCAUAAUAUUUGAAAAAGUUUCAAUUAAAAAACUUGGUGUAUGUAAAGUUGUAAAAUCUAAAAAUGGUUCUAUAUAAUACUGAGACCAUCGAUGAUUUUGAUGAUUCUACAAAUCAUUUUUUUAGUAUAUGAUACAUUCUUGAAAAAAACUAUAAAAGUAUUUGAUUUUCUUCUUUAUAUCCAAAUACUGACCGAUUAUUUAUGGAAGUAUUUUUGACAAAAAUGUUGUUAUCAAAAGUGCGACAUGUUGAAAUUGCAUUUAGGACCAUCAUUUGAGAAUGGGAAAAAGAUAAAGCGAUUACAUAAAAUUCUUAUUUUAAUUUUGUCAUUUAUAUUAAUCUAAUUAAACUGUCUAUUAAAAUUUCAUUUCGUAUUUUUGUGUUGGUGUAAGUGCUAGAAUCCUAGACUAGAGGUCAAAUAGCAAGUUACUUUCAUUUUAUAAGUUGAUUUUUCUGAGGGUCAAGCUAACAUUAAACAACACCUUCGUUUGUGAGCAAACCAAGUAGGAGAAAGGGAGGGCUCCAUAAAAACCAGCAAGACCCACUCAGCAGAGCCCAUUUGGCUUAAGGGCCCUAACGAUCCAUUUAGAUGGGCCAAUUGCAAAGACUCCCUGACUAAAAUGAAAAUGAAUCAACAUUAGAAAAGUGUGCUAGCACUGAAAUAGCAAGCCAUAGCUCAGCUGCAUGCUGCUCUCCGUUCAGAAGACAAUGGGCGAGAGUUAUACAACCCGCUACCUUUAUUUUGAUGGAGUCCUUUCCUAGUUAAAACCCAUGUUUUGGUCAUGUAACUGGAUAAUAAUUAGAGGGUGUUUAGUAAAUAGUUUAAUGACUUAAUAAUUUAAUUUAAGUUAUUAAGUAAAUUAAACAUGCUUAUUAAAAGAAAUUAUAAUUAAAAGUAAUUUUUAAUUUUAAUUAUUAAGUUAAAAUAAUUAAUUUAUUCUUAAUCUUAACUUUUUUAUCUGAUUUACCUAUACUAGUAAAAGUAUAUUUUAGAAUUAUGAUUUCAUAUUUAUGACUUAUUUUUAAUAAUAAAUAUUUUAUGGUGAUCUUAUGCAUCUAUAGUACUUUAAAUAUGAAUAUUUUAUAAAUAAAUUUAUUAUCUAAAAUUAAUGAAAAUAAAUAUGAGUUAAAAUCAAUAAGAAUAAAUAUUCAUUAAAAUAAAAGAGGAUAAUGUGUUGACUUGAAAUUUUAAAAUAACUUUUGAGUAAACUUUAUCAAAUAUCCUUAAUAUUUAAAAUUAAAAUAAGUAAUAAUUUUUAAGUGAAUAACUUCAUAACAAUUUAACUUAAAGUGAGCAUAAAUCAUUAAGUAAUCACCCACUUUGAGAAUAUUUAUUAAAUUAAUUUAAUUAUUUAAUAUGACUUAAUUGUUGGGUUUAAGGAUAUGGAUACAAAAUAUUAGUCCAAAAGACACAAAUAAAUAACAGAAUGAAUAAAAAGAAAAAUUUAUCGGUUGAGGCGUGACAAGUACUAUCCUUGAAAUAGAUCCACCAUCCUCGAAGACGAACUUGGUACACUAGGGUACCAAUGGUCUACCUCUAGGAUUUAACGACUAGAUCUUGCCUUGGUUGCACUUUGUAAGCGAGAUGUGUAUAACUUAGGUUUAGAAAAAAUUCCUCCAAAUAGAUGUAUGAAAGACUUUUUGAAAAACUCCCUAAAAAAUUGGUAUUCAUAUAUAGAGAGAAAAGGGUGACUUGCUUUUAUAGGCCAAAUGAGAAUCUACUUGUAAUUAGAAUAUGACUCAAAGUGGAAGGAGAUUCCACUUAUAAAAGGAAUGAAACUCCACUAGCACAAUCCCAAUAGGACUCUUCCCAAAAAUAGAAGACUAAUAAAAUAGAAUAAAAUAAAAAAUAAUUCUCAAUAGGACUCUUCCAAAAAAUAUAAGACUAACAAAAUAAAAUAAAAUAAAAUAAAAAUAAUUCUCAAAAAUAAAAAUAAAAAUUAUUUACACUCUUCCUACAAUUCCCCACAAAGUGUAAACGUAAUUUUUUUUUUUUUUGAGGAAAAAAGAAUCCAAUGCAUCAGUAUUGGUACCCAAAGGCUAUGAACCAGUCUUAGAACAAAUAAGUAUUGAAUCACAAAACAUGGUAAAAAUAAAUUUUUAUGAACUAGUGUUUCUUUGUGUAACUCAAGGAACUUUUAUCCAUAUUGGUUUUCUCAACUAUAUUAUGAGCUAUACAAAACGGGUUGACACAAAUAGGCCAUACGUCCUACCGGGAUAUUCAUGAGAGCUUUAGAGAACUUGCCUAAUUUCUCAUAGGAAGCAGCCCCACCUUCACUCUCAUAUAGGUGAAUCCAUCAAGUAUGUUUUGCAUUUAAACAUACCAUUCAUAAGGAAUAUGGUAUUCAUUAAGAGUAAACACUCAACCUUAGUCAAUGCAAAAUACGCUUUAUCUACACCGUAGGAAUGGACUCUCAUACAAUUAGAGUUGAUAGAGCAAUUCAAGUCAACAAGUGAUUUGUUAUUACCCAUAUAAACCUACUUCAUGGAAUUUCCAUUCUAAUAGGUUAGGUUACCACCACUCUUGACUUCUGUAAUAGACAUAAGCCCCAUCAUUCUUGAUGUUUCUUCCACUAGUUUCUUAUUUAGUGGUUUGGUCAAAUGAUCGGCCAAAUUCAAUCUGACCUCACAAAUUCUAGGAAUAUAACCCCUGUUUCAAGCAGCCGUACAAUAUUGUGCCUUAGGCAUAUAUGCUUGUUCUUCCCAUUAAAUAUUUUACUCUUAGCCUUAGCAAUUGCAGUUUGGCUAUCACAUCGCAUAGACACAGAUGGGGCUGGUCUCGUCUAUAAAGGGAUAUUUUGCUAAGAGGUUUCUAAGCCACUCAACCUCAAAACUUGCCUUUUCUAAGGCAAUAAACUCAACCUCCAUAGUAGACCGAAUAAUGCAAGUUUGCUUGGAAAACUUCCAAGAAACUGCACUUCCACCAAGGAUGAAAACAUAUCUACUAGUGGAUUUCAUCUCAUCUGAAUCCGAGAUCCAAUUUGCAUCACUAAAUCCUUCAAGGACACUUGGAAAUCCACUAGAGCACAAACCAUAGUUAAUGAUGCCUCUCAAAUACUUAAGGAUUCUACAAACAAUAGUCCAAUGAUCCUGAUUAGGACUUUGGGUGUACCGACUCAAUCUACCUACUGCAUAAGCAAUGUCAGGUAUGGUACAGUUCAUUAAGUACAUUAGGCUCCCUAUGAUCUUAACAUAUUCUAUUUGGGCAACAUUAUGUUCUCUAUUUUUCUUCAACUGUGAGCUGGGAUCAUAAGGAGUUGACACUGGUUUACAAUCAAAGUAUUCAAACUUCCUUAGGAUCUUCUUAACAUAGUGCUCUUGAGAAAGUUUAAGCCCAUUAUGUGUUCUAAUUAUUUUAAUUCCUAGAAUCACCUUUACCUCUCUUAGGUUUUUCAUAUCAAACUUAGAACCUAGGAAUUUCUUGUAAGGUAUUCUAUUUUGAAUAUAACAUGCGGAUAAGAUAGCUUCCUCUCACAAGUUCAAGGGUGCUCUUGAACUUACCAACAUUGCAUCAAAGGUUUUAAGUUAAUCAAAAUGUAUCCAAAGUUCACUAUAUCAAUUGUAGAGAAAAACCCUUUUCUGCCAUCUCUUAAAGAAUGUCCCAUUGAAAGGAUCACUUUUAGAGGUGUCAAGAUGGGUGUGAACUAAGGAAGCUUCCAUUUGGAUCUAUUUCAAGAUUGUUGGGUUUAAGGGUAUGGAAAUAAAAGACUAGCCCAAAAGACACAAACAAAUAACAAAAUGAAUAAGAAGAAAAAUUUAUCAGAUAAUCGGAGAUGAAAAAGACGAUCCAAAAUUUUGUGAACAAUGCGGAGUCGAAUUUGUUGAUUCUCGAAUACGAAGAUAUCAAAUGGGCUACAUCAAACUGGCAUGCCCAGUAACGCAUGUGUGGUAUUUGAAAUGUCUUCCUAGUUAUAUCGCAAAUCUUUUAGAUAAACCUCUUAAAGAAUUAGAAGGCUUAGUAUAUUGCGAUGUGUGAUUUGAUCGAAAUUCUGAUUUUACAGAUUCAGAAUGAGAAACUGUCAUCCCAUUCAAUCCAAUUGGGAUGCCUCGGCUCUGACAUGUCUCUUAAGAGGAGUAACAUGAAGCUCAGAAUUAUGGGUGUAUUCUAUACUACCAAAUAAAAGGGUAAUUGAUCUUUGGUCGAUUCUGUAACAAAUAAAUAGGAAUGUGAGGCAUGAUAAGCACUGUCUUUGAAAUAGAUCCACCUUCCUCGAAGACGAACUCGGUGCACUAGGGUACCAGUGGUUUACCUCUCUGAAAAACUCUCUAAAAAAAAUCUCUAAAAAAUUGGUAUUCAUAUAGAGAGAGGGGUGACUUGCUUUUAUAGGCCACUAACAAAUUCUCAAUGGGAAUCUACUUGUAAUUAGAAUAUAAGUCAAAGUGAAAGAAGAUUCCACUUAUAAAAGGAAUGAAACUCCACUAGCACAAUCCCAAUAAGACUCUUCCCAAAAAUAUAAGACUAAUAAAAUAAAAUAAAAUAAAAAACAAUUCUUAAUAGGACUCUUCCCAAAAAUAUAAGACUAAUAAAAUAAAAUAAAUUAAAAAUAAUUCCCAAAAAUAAAAAUAAAAAUUAUUUACAUUCUUCCUACAUUAACAACUUAAAUUAAUCAUAUUUAUUAAGAUAAUUUAAUAUAAUAACUUAAAUUUAAAAAUAACUUUAAGUAUAUAUAAAAUCAAAAUAAUUAAUUUAUUUUGAAUCUUAAAUUUUUUUAUUUGCCUACAUCUAGUGAGAAUCUCUUUUGCAUCCAUAACUUCAAAUCUUAUUUUUCAUGCUAAAUAUUUUAUAGUUAUUUUAUGUGUUAAGAAUACCUUAUUAAAGGUAUGCUUAUGAAAUAAAUUUAUUUCGUAAAAUUCAUAAAAUUAAAUAUUAAUCAAAUUGAUAAGGUAAAUAUUAAUUAAUAGUAAUGAUGAUAAAUAUGUUAAUUUGAUAGUUUAGAAAAAAAUUUCAAGUUAAUUUUACCAAACCAAUUUAAUACUUAAAGUUAAAACAAAUUGAUAAAUUUUAAUUCAUUAACUUAAAAAUAAUUUAAUUUAAAGUUAACUUAAGUUAUUAAAUAAUAAGUAUUAAGUUUUAUUAAAUAUCUUCUUACAUAUAUUAGGUUUUAUAUAAAUCUAGAAGAAAAUUUAAAACCAAGUAGAGCUUUAGGUGGUAUUUGGUUUUUUUUUUUUUUUUCACCUUAAUAUUAAAUAUAAUUUGCUUUCAAAUAUCAGCUAAUUGCGAAAGCAACACUCAUUGUCACUCACGCAACUGCUACCUUUACAUGUUGUAUUUUUUACUCUCUCAAAGUAAAUUUCUUCUUCAUUUCUUCUCUUUAUAUAUGCUUUAUUUAGAUAGAGAUUUCAAUCAUCUUCACUCUUUCUUUGUCAAACUCGUGGGCUUGUUUCAUUAAAGUUUUUUUUUUUUUUUUUGCCAUGAUUUAUGCUUUUCUUACUUGUUUGAUUAUUGUGAUUUUUGUGGUUUGUUUGGUUAUUAGAUUUUUAUGGUUUCUUUGAUUGGAGAAAUCUAAAAUAAAAGAAUCAAAAUUUAGGAAUUGCAUUAGAAAUUAUAUAACAAUUUUUUUAACUGAAUUAUAUAUAUAAUUUUCAUAUUAAUAAAUUAAAUUCUAAUUGAAAAUGACAAAUCCUUAGUAAUGGAGUUAGUAAUAUUAAUUUUUAUAAUAUUAAUUUUAUAUUAUUGAUUUUAUUAUUAAUAAAACUAAUAUUGUAGCGAAGUUAUAAGUAUGACAAAAACUUAUUGAUUUUAUAACAAUGUACUCUUUAACAUUUCCUUCACUGCAAACUAACUUUAGAAUAUAUUUCUUUUAAAAGUUUAUGAUUUUCUCAGAAAAAUUAUUUCUAAUAAGAAAAAUUCUUUCUAAUGAUAGAAUAUAUGUAAUGUUAAUUUAUUGAGAUGAUAUAUUAAUAUAGACACUAAUAUAGUAAGAAAAAAACCAAUGUUUUUAAUACUAUUAGAUUUGUUGUCAAAUGUGGAUAUAAUAUUUAUGUAUUGAACUACACUAAAGUUACGUUAUGGCAUGCUUUAAUUUUGUUUUUAAAUAAUUAUAAAAAUAAAUAUUUUAUUUUAAUAUUUUUUAAUAGUUAUGUCGUAAAAAUAUUAAUAAAAUUAUUGAAAUCUAUUUAAUAAGAAAUAUAAGGACAAAUAUUUUUAUGUAAUAUUUUUUAACAUUAUAUUGUAAAAUUAAACAUUUCAAAAUUUAUGAAAUCUAUAUAAUAAAAAGUAUAAUAACUUUAUAUUUUGAAUUAUUAUAAUGAAACAAUUAUUUGUGAAAUUAUCAUAUUAUAUAUUAUUAUUAUUAUUAUUAUUAUUAUUAUUAUUUUGGAUAAGUUAUUUAUAAUAUUUUUAAAAUAAUAAUUAAUGAAAUAAUAAUUUAUAAUUAAUUAUUAUAUUAUUUAUAUGCAUUAAUAUCUUCAGCCUUGAAUUCUUCAAAUGAGUGUAAGGCGUGCAUUAUAAAUUAUAAUUAAUUUAUAAUUUAUAAUUACUAUCCUUCCCGAUAUUUUAAAUUUUAGUGUGGUCGGUUCUUGAACAGGCCCAACUUCCAUUUAAUGGAUUCUAGGCAGAAGCCCAACCCAUAUUGCCACCACCUAUUUAUUGGUUUUUUGGCAAAAAGCCUAUCCAAGCAAGCCCGCCUUACAUUGCCACAUGCUGGGAUCAACCUUAAACCCACAAGCUGUGGACAUGUCAACACCUUGGAUGAGUAAUGUUUUUAAGGCCCUCCAUAUCCUUCUUACCAUCUGUUGUGGGAUUGAUGGACCUUAAGUUGGGGAGAUGACAUGGGCACCACUCUACAACACCCCUUUUGAUGCUUAUUAUAUCAAACAAAAGAAAAUAUAUUAUUUUCUAAAAGAAUUUAUAAUAACAAUAUAAUAUUUUUAAAAUUAUAAAAUUAUCCCUAUGCGAGCUUGACAGUCAAACUAAUGCAUUUACACACUUUACUAAAAACAUAAAAGGGUUUUGCUUGUUUGUUUAGUAAAGUCAAGCUUUGACUUUGUUAUUGAACGAUGAAUUUUCAUCUCUAUUAUUGAUUUUUUUAUUUAAAAUUAAAGUAUUUCAAAUUUAUUGUUAAAAAAGGUUUCAAAUUUAUUUAAAAUAAACAUAAAAAAUUUUAUCUUUAUUUUGUUAAAAAGAAAUUUUCAAUUUUAUUUUAAGAGAAAAGACUUCUCAGUUUUAUUAAAAAAAUUUAAAUUUUAUUAUUAUUUAAGAAAAAUAUAUUUUUUCUUAUUUUUUUUUACUUAAAAGAUGAUUUUGUAGUUUUAUUUCAAGUUAUACAAUGUUAUUUUAAAGAAGGAUUUGACUAUUUUAUUUAAAAGGAUUUUGUAGUUUUAUUUAGAAAAAAAUAUUUUUGAUAGUCUUUUCUUAAAAAGAUAUUUUCCUACACAGUUUAUUAAACAAAAUUUUUUUGGACAGUUUAUAUUUAAAAGACAUUUUUGGAUAGUUUAUUUAAAGACUAUUUUGGAAAAUUUUAUUUAAAAAUCGUUUUUGAUAUUUUUUAAAAUUUAAAGUCAUUUUGACAGUUUUGAUUAAAAAAAAAAUUAUUUGCACAAUUUUUAUUCAAAAAACACUUUAGGUAGUUUUUUUUUUAAAUUAUUUUUAAAAAUGACCUGGCAGUUUUUAUUUUAUCCUAAAAAAAGUUUAAAUGUUAUUUUUUAUUUAUAAAUAAAUAAAUAGGUAUACAAAACAGAAUAAGGGAAAAACCCAAAUAGGUAAUGCUCUUGCUAUAUAUACUCGUCUUUGCAUCACUCACCCCACACACAUUCUCUUUCUCCUUGUGCAUCACCUUUGCUUUUUUCAGUUAAGUGAGUCUCAUAGUCAACUUCUUACAUUCCUUUCUUGGUUAUUCUCUUGAUCAAAUAAUGUAGUACUGUGCUGUUUUGCUUUAAAGGCAUGUCAUCAUUUGAUAAGUGAGAAGCAGCUGAAGGAGAUGGGAGAAACCUGACCUCAGUCGGUUCCAUCCCAAAUGCCACAGCAAUCCAGGCAGCAAUUGUUAGGAAUGGGGUCAUUUCUUAUGGUAUCAAGAUGGAAAUAUUCAUAGAUCUUCCUAUUGUUGGAAAGAUAAGUAUACCCAUUGAGGCAACGGGAAUAGUACCCGUACGCUUACCUUUUAUGAAUAUGAAUGCUGAUAUUGGUGCUGAUGGUAAAGAGGAGGAGAUAUACAAUUAGCAUGUACUAAAAAAAUUGGUGGGUUUAAACAUGUCUUUUAUUUUAUUUUAUUUUUUCCCAACUAACUCAGGCUCAAAAUUCCAACUUAUAUUUACAAAUCCCCAUUUAAUAAUUUGUAUGUGAUUCAUCACCACUCUGAUCACUACCUUUACGUUGUUAUAGAACCUCCAUCUCACGCAUGUAUGCAUGCAUAGAGUACGUACACCUUUCUAGUAACAGAUGGAUAAAAACUAUUUUUAUGCAUGCUUCCUCGUAUUACUAACCUUGGUUGCAAAUUGCAAUAUGUGAUUGCUUUUAUUUUUUUCUUCUAUCUCAUGCAUUCACUUGUGCACACAAUUCAUUGUUUCCAAUUUCAAUUCUUGCAGAAUUAGAGAAGGACCAUAGAAGAUGUCAGCAAAAGUGGUUUCCAUGAUGAGUUUCUAUUCUUCUUUUAUUGUCUAAGGUCAUCCUAAUAAUGGAUUAUUAAUAUUAUGUAAUUGAUUUGUAUGAUGAGUGCUUUCUCUUCUUCUUUUAUUGUGUCUAGGUCAUCCUAGCUAAUAAAGGAUUAGUAUUAUGUAAUUGAGCCUAGGAUGUCAACUAUGGACGCAUAUGUAUAUCUUUGGAGUUGUUGCUAUAUAUUUAUAUUAUUAUGAAUGUGCAUGUUUGUGUUGUAUUGUCUUUUGUUGAUAGAUAUUGCAAUUUGCAAACGAAAUUACGGGUCCCUAAGGCAACAUAAUUUGCUUUGUAGAUAUUCAUGUAAAAAGAAACGAGGAUAUGCUACAACUUUAGGAAAUGUAAAAGGAAUGAGCAUUGGCCUUUGGAAUCAUGGUUAAUAGCAUCCCCUCCAUAAUUGAAAAUGCAUUAUAUAUUAAUGGUUUGAAACACAUUUUGCGCAUAUAUCACUUUGAUGACAAAUGUUUUAAGAGUUUAUUUUGGUCCAUCUUUAUUAAUUUAAAAAUAUUUGCAUGCAAAUAACUUAUUCUCAAUAAAAUUUAUUUUGAAUCAAUGAUGAAGCAUCUCUUGGUUACCAAAGAGAUAUCCAUAUAUAUAUAUAUAUAUAUAGUGAUAUCCGUAUAUAAUCUUUGAUCAAUCUAACCUCUUUGUUGACAAUUUGUUUGUUAAUGAUGGGCUUUGAAGUGGAAGAAAAAAUUAAUCAUAGCUUGGAUUAAAAAAAAAAAAAAAACAGAAGAAAGUUUUACUUUGUAGACUGAUUUUUCUUGAGGGUCAAGCUGAAAUUAAACAACACCUUCAUUUGUGAGCAAACCAAGUGGGAGGAUGGAAGGGGCUCCACAAAAACCCAGCAGAGGCCUACUCAGUACAGCCCAUUAGAAUAGUGUGCUAGCACUAAAAUAGCAAGCCAUAACACAACUGCUUUCUCUCUGUUGUCAUAGGGGUUGCACAUAAGAGGAGAAUGAGCAAGAGUUAUACAACCGGCUACCUCCACUUCGAUGGAGUCCUUUCCUAGUAAAAACUCAUGUUUUGGUUAUGCAACCAGACAACAAUUAUAAUCUAUUUAAUUUAAGUAAUUAAGUAGAUUAAGUAUACUUGUUAAAGUAAAUUACAACUAAAAACCAUUUUUAACUUUUAAGUGUCAAGUUAAAAUAGUUGAUUUGUUUUUAAUCUCAAAUUUUCUUACCUAAUUUGUCCACACUAGUGAAUAUAUUUUAAAAUUAUAAUUUCACACUCAUGACUCAUUUUUUAUAAUAAAUAUAUUAAAGUAAUCUUAUGCAUCUACAAUUUUAACAUUAACGAAAAUGAAAAUAAGUUAAAAUCAGUUAGGAUAAUUAUUAAUUAAAAUUAAUUUGUGUCGAUGAUUUAGAAUAAAUUUUAAGUUAACUUAAUAUUGAAUGCAAUUUGCUACUAAACCUCAAUUUAUUUUUAAUUUUUACUUAUUUACUAAUAUUUUUACUUGAAUAAAAAAAGUUAAAAUUUAUGACUUUUCCCUCUCUAUAAAUUUUACUAUUAUGAAAAUUACAAGAUAAUUAACAGUAAUAACAAAUUUUAAAACUUAGAAAAAAGUGUUGAGAUUUUUUCAAUGACUAUUAUUAUUGAAUGUUUAAAUUAAAAAUAAAUUAGAAAUACAUACUAUUAUCUUGGAAAUAGUGAGUAGCAUAGUUGUGAUACAAUUCAUUUACAUUAUUGUAAACAUAAUGUAGCAUAGUUGUAAACACCAAGAAUAGUAUUAUUAUAAAUAUUUCAAAAAGUAAGGACAGAUAUAAUAAAUGAUAUAAAUGUAAAUAUGAUAAAUGAUGUUGUUAUAAAUGUUUCUACAUAUGAGGUUAAACAAUGUGUCACAACAAAAAUCGUUCAAGUCUCUAUUACAAAUCAUAGAUUAAAAAUAAAUUAGUAAUAUAUUAUAAUGGUUAUUGCGUAAUUGUAAUACAAUGAAUUGACAUUUUUGUAAAUAUAAUAAGUAGCAAAAUUAUAAAUGCGAUGAAUAGUAUCAUUGUAAAUAUUUCAAUAAAUAAAGAUAAAUAUAAUAAUGACAUUAUAUUAAAUAUGACGCAUGUGUAGAUAUAAAAAAAGAAAAAUUGUAUUAAAUUACCACUAAAUUGAUCAUUAAAUUUGUGACUUUUUAGUUCAACAAAAAUUUGAUUUGACAAGGGAUGAAUCACAUAUGUUAAGCAUGUGACAUGUUGUUCAAAAGGUUACACAUGACAAAAUUUGGGAGGUCAUAAAAUCAAAUCUUACAAAAUAAAAUCAAAUAAAAUGAUUAAAGUCAAAUUAGAAGAAAAUAUUGUCAUGUUUAUAAAUUGUCUUCAAAAUGAAGGAAAUUAAGAAGAAAUAUUUUCAUGUCCACAAAUUUCUUAAGUGAACAAGACAAUUUGUUAAAAUCAAUGAGUCAAAUUCUUUGAAUUAAAGAAUUAAAUCUUAAGAAUUUCAAAUUUUAUUAUUUAAUUUCAUUCAUAAAUAAAGGUGACUUUCUAAGAUGAAGGUGGAUGGAAGAAAAAGCUUUACCAUAGAAAUUGCUUGAUAGGAGGGCUUCAAAAAGAUUAAUGCCCUCAUGCUCUCCAACAUGAUGAACAAGCUAUGCUAAAUCCCUCAAUUGAACUUCUUAUAAAAAAAAAAUCUUAUUAUCAUUCAAGUGGUUAACUCAAACAAAGUUUCACAAUAAAAGCUAUUUUUGGCUUUUAUUAUAGGUCACCGACCCAGAGAUCAAUAUUGUGAAACUUGUCCAUAUAUAUGGCCUCAGACAAGUCAAGUGGGAAUUAUUUGUUUAAGAACAAUGUACAAUGAAUGAUGUGUUGAACAAUUAGCAAAUUUAUGUGAAAUUAAAACAAUAACUUGGUGAUUGGAGAUAUUAAACUAAUUUAAAUUUUAAGUCAAACAUAAUAAAAGACUUUAUCCAAGAACUUGUAUUUGUAUGGAAUAAAAAUUGACUUCUUGUUUUAUAUGUUUUUACGAUUUUAUUGUUCAAGUCAUGAAGGCAUAUCAAACCAUCAAUCCUCUAGAUCUUCAUAAGUUGAUCAUAAAAAUACAAAUCCUUAUGCUACUCAAAACUUGUGUAUACAUCCCAUGAAACUUGUAUACAUUCAUGAUAUUACCAAAGAUUUGAAAAUUAGUCUAGAUUGAUCGGUUUCACCAGUUUAAUAAUAUAAUGAUCAUUACUAAAGUUAUAAAAUUCUAAUUUAUAUAAUUUGGACAUAUGGAUAAAAUUAAAUAAUAGAAAAUUUCCUCUAUUUUGUACAAGUUCAUAGUUAAACAUUAUGCAUAUUUUGUUUAAUAAAAUUUAAAAUAUUAAUAUAUCAUAUUUAUCUUAUGAUUUAAUUUGAUAAUAUUAAAGAUAAAAAAUAAAUAUAAUCAAAGUUUUUAAUUAUAUAUAUAUCUGGACAAUUAUAAUAAUUUUUUAUUUUAGUAAUAUAUAAAUUAUCUAUUUAGAACGUCAUGAUUGUUUAACAGUGCUUCAACUAUUGAUUUGAUUAUUGAACCAUGAAUCAAUAAUUUUUUUAAUUCAAUGACCAAUUCAGUUAUAAAAAUAUUAGACAUUAUUAUUUACUAACUAUAAAACUAGUCUAAACGAAGCCUAAAUGUGAAAGUUGGCUAAAGGGAAGGGCCACCUUCAUUCCAAUGUUAUAAAAGAGAGUGGGGUUUUUAUUUCCAUGAACUGCUUAGCUACAUACAACAAGAAUUUUUCCAUUUCAUCUUGGCUAGAUCUUGAAAUUAAUUUUCAAUAUAAACUAUAUAGAAAACAAAUUCUCAUUUUUCCUUCACUUUUAAUGCCCGGAAGUAUUGAAUUAUUUUGGAAAAAAUUAUAAGAAUAAUAAAGAGAAUCAUAUCAAUGUAACUCCUAAAUAGUGCCAGAGCAAGAAAAUCUCACAUUUUGGUAAGUUUGUUGAAAGUAUAGUGACAUGUCUAAUACAAGGCAUUUCAAAACAACUUAAUGCUUACUAGUAAUAGUCUUGUCCUAUUUAAGAAAUUAGUUGUUAUUCUCAAAUACUUUAAUUCCUUCAAAUAGGGAGGGUUGUGUUUGGGUAAUCGCUCUUGAAUCCAUCUUCUAGUGAUUGUGCUUUCAUGUCGAGGGACUUUACAUAUUAUAAUAAAACCUCAAUAAAUAAACCUUGGAUAAAUUAAUAGUUUCGAUUAAAAAAUAAAAUCUUUUGGUCUCAAGCCAAUUUACAAAAUUAAUAACCUUGUUGAAUGUACAAGAUAAUGUUUUUUUUUUAUUAAAAAAAAUCCUUAAAACCCAAGAAAAUAUAAAUUAAUAAUUGAAGUCCACAAAAAAUAGAAAAAAUAAAUUUAUAAUACCAUAUUUAGUAAUGUUUUUAAAACUUAUAUUUUUCUCAAUUCAAUAUUUUCUCAAAACCAUAGCAUAUUUAAAAUCUCUUUAUCUUAUAUAAUAUUAACUUUUGAUAUAAUAUUUCUUCCUUUUAGAACUUUUUUUGAACUUUUAUAAUUAAUAACCAUAUCUUUUUUUAGAGUGUUAAGUUUCUAUGUAUUAAUUUUUUAAUACAUUCAUAAUUUUUGAUUUACAAAUCAUACUUGUAUAAUUACUUACAAAAGAAACAUAACACUUUUUUUUUUAUAAAUUACUAAUUAUUCAUUUAUUAAUAAAUCAAUAACCUCAUUAAAAUAAUAAUUUCUUUUGGUCUCGAGUGUUAUUUUAUAGACGUUUUAUUAUAGGUUCUUUUGAUGUAAUGCUUUUACUUUUCUAAAUUUUCAACAAAGCCAUGACCAAGAAAAUGAAAAAUGGCAAAGAUAAUAUGUUAGUUUACAACUCAUUCAUCCAAGUUAAGUCUAUUAGAGACUAGAAUAAUAUGAAUUGAUUAAAUAAAUGGAAAGACCUUAUUACACCAAUAAAAGAAUUAUAACUAAAUUCUUAAGUAUCAUUGAUCAAAUCGCAGUAUAUUUGCCCUAUGAAUUGAUGGUUUGAUGUGCCUCUACAUUUGCACACAAUAUGAGAUAUAACUAUUCAAGCAUUUGGGAAAAUAACUAGAAUGUCGGGUACUAGGAAUUGGUUACAAAAUAUUUAUGAAGUUAAUGGAUAUGAAAUAUCCUCAACAACACAUUCAUUGCUUAAUAUCAAUACAUAUAGGCAAGAAUAAUACUAAUAACGUUUCCUAAAUUCACUAACAAAUUAAAUCAUGGAGAGUUGAAUUGUAGCAAUCUAGAAAUAUCGAGCUUUAGAGCAAAGCAUACAAAAGAUCUAGCUUAUUUAUUGAAAAAAAUCAAGACACAUAAAGAGAAAAACCUUCCUCUAUUUACUUUAAAUGAAGGAAAUAUCAUUAGCUAGCGUCUCUCUACCAAGGAUGGUAUCUGUGCAGCUUCUCAAAAGAAGGAAAGCUCGCAUACCUGACAAAAAAAUGAAGACAAUAAAAACAAAAGGCCCUUAUUCUAAGAUAAGAUAAUAUAUAUAUAUAUGCAAACACUAUGUCAAAGAAAAAUACAAACACCUAUUCAUUUUUCUUCAUAUAGAAAAUUAAAUCAGUCGUCCUGGUUGUGGUUUGUCAUCAUCCUCGUCCUCCUGUUCAUCCUCUUCAUCCUCUUCCCCCUCUUUAUCUCCAAUGCGACUCCCACCUCUUUCUCUCUCUCUCUCUCUCAUCCACAUCUCAUACUCCUGUUCAUUGACCUCAUCAUCAUUAUCAUCCACGUUGCGGCCUGUCAUCAUCCACAUCCUCGUGUUCAUCCUUUUCCUCCUCUUUAUCUCCCUGUCCCACUCCCACCUCUUUCUCCCUCUCAUCCCAAUCUCUAUCAACCGCAUCAAAUCCUCAUUUUCAUUGACCUCAUCAUCAUCAUCAUCGUCAUUGACCACAUCAUCAUCAUCAUCGUCACUAUCUCCAUAAUUCCAUCCUACAUAAUCCUGAGCAUUCGGUACACAAAACAUCACAAUGGGUAGGAAUAAGGAAAAGUAUAAUAAUAAAAGUUUAAAAAAGCAAUUAGGAUGGGAGCACAAAUCAUAGAAUGGUAGAUCAAACCACUGCUAUAUUAUAUCCUUGUCUCCUCUAGAAGUGAUAGUGUAUUUUGGGCUAGAGUUGGACAACAUUUAAUAAAGACCCAUAAACAACGUUAAGUCCUAGAAGGUUCUUCUAUUCACAAAUGAGAGUAAGAAUUUCGUAUAAUUGUCUGUCUUUAACCUUUGACCAAAGGAAGGACAUCACUAUCAAUAUGAACAUGUCAAUUGCCGAUCUCCAAAGAUUGAAUGUUUUUGUUAACAAAAUUAAAAAUUAAAAAUUGUGUGAUUAAAUGUUUACAAUAAGUGACAAAGACUAGACAUUCCUUACUUCACUUAUUGCCCUUAAAUGAUGUGUAUUCCAUCAUAAAAUUAAUUUUCGAUACUUUGAAACAAAUCUAAGCAAAAGAAAAUUUAUCUUUUCUUUGUACUUUUGCUUGUGACUAAUUGAAUUGAUAGUUUGUGAAACCCAACACAAGUAUCAUUCACUCUAGGUUCUAACAACACUUCAAUUUUCUAAUCCAAUUAAACUCCUUAACUCAAAAACAAAGUAGAAAAGGAAAACACUGUGUACAAUAAAUAAUCAUUUUCUAUCUAAUAUCCAAUAUUAUCCUCAAUCAAACAUCAAAUAUUAAAGAAUUUUCAAAUUUUGAGAAUGAUUUACCUGCAAAUGUAAUUGACUGGUUGCCCCAAGAGCCUCAAGAUCCUUCUCAAACAUCACCUCGACAAUUAUAAACUAAAGAAAAUUUUGUUAAUAUAUUGGUUUGGAAUAUUUGAGAAUAUGAAAAUAUGUGAAAAAAAUAGACUCUUUAUAAAGGGAAAUUGGUAAAUUUCUUUCAACAAUAUAAACUUGAGAGACAUUUUUUUUUUAUGUAUAAUAACAUGGUUAUUCAAAGCUUCCACUGAUGCAACAACCCCAAUCUUAGAAAAACAACAAAAAAUCAAAGAUCUUCUGUGUCAUUUCUUGAAUAAUUGACAACUUAAUAAUCAAUUUUUUUCUCUAAGUACUAUAGCUUAGCAAUUUAACUAGGUUAGAUGCAAAACUAAUUCUCAUGUAUUUGUAUUCUAACUUAUAAUUUCAACCAUAAUAAUAGACUUUGUCUCAAGGUCUACAUUUGAACUAACUGAAAAUCUAUGUAUGAAUAUUUUGGCAAACACUUUUUGCACAAAAAAUCCUUUGACCUCUUCUUACUUGCCUUUAAAUUUGUUGAAAUUCCUAGGAAUGCUUUAGUUAUGUUUAAAAGGUUAGGCAUCACAGAGUGAUAGGUAUAGCUACUAAGCUAAGGGAACAAUUAACAACUAACAAAGCAAACUUAACCAAAACAGACAAUAAACCAAGUAACAACAAACAAUAAGAGCAUAAAAGGAUCCAUACAAACCCAUGCAGAAUUUUGCUUCCAUCAAAUCAGGUUCCUUGUACUAAAAAAAUUAAACAGACUAAACAUAACACAAACAUUAUAUGGGCUUGCUCUGUGUCUUUUUCUUAAAGUUAGACAAAUUUUUAAAGAAUCGCGAAGGUGAAAAAUAGUGUUAAUAAUACAAUAACAUUAGAAAAUUUCAAGAUAUAUACCUUCUCCAAAGUUGUAUUUCGGAUGAUGGUAUUGAAGUCACACCCCAAAUGUUCUUCCACAUGAUCGUCAAUUUUUACUUCCUUUACCCUUGGUGUACUUGCGACUCUCUCACAAAAAAAUUCCAUCUGAGGGCAUCUUUUCACCAAAAAUUGUUCCAAGGAUGGGAAUUUGAAGAUGCAUCUAGCUGAGUAGAACCAUUUUAGACUUUGUAAGUUAACAAGUCUCAACCUUUGUAAUUUGGAGAAAACAAUAUCAUAUGGUUCUUCACCUCCCUCAUGUCUAACUAUUUCUUCCACCAAUUCGCAUUUUUCUAUAGUAAGCACUUUGAGUUGCACCAAUGUUUUAGCCAUUGAGGACGUCACUAGAUAUAUUAAAUUUCCACAACCAUGUACUUCUAUAGAAUGAAGAUUCUUAAAAAUUUGACCCAAUCCAGAUAGAUAUGUCAACAAAGGUAGAUCUUCUAGGAACAUUUUAGUUAAUCGUGGGAGUGCCUCAACUUGAUAUUCCUUAUCAACAAGUUCGAAUACCUCUUUCACUGAAUUACACUUGCUCACAUGAAGUUCCUCUAGAUUAUGCAACUUUGGAAGCACAUUGGAGGGGAUCACAACCAAAAUGUCGUGACACUUUCUUAUCUUCAAAAGUCUCAGCUUGCAAAAUGACUCCCCUAAAAAUUGGCCUUGCCAUAUUUUCAUCUUGGAGCCCUUUAAGAUCAAUUGCUCCAAAUUAAGGAAUGCAUCCUGACAACCAAACAAACAAGAUUAACGAUAUGUCUUGUAUCUCUUUCCCCCCCCCCCCCCCUUCUUUUCUUUUUGGCUAAAUAAAUAAGUUCUAUACACAAUUGUAUGUACAAAAAUAUUUUAAAAUAAAGUAAGAAAGAAUACUCUUAUGGCAUACAAUUUUUUUUUUUUCUUAUUGUUAUGACUUAUAACUAAAGACCACGUUUGUUUACUUACCAAUUUUUUUUAAAAAAAAAGUCUACUAUAAUUUCCUUUCUAAUUUAUACUUAAGUACAUGAUUUUAGUUUCUUUUCUAUGUAUUUCAUCCAACGAACUAUGCAAAAAAUAAGUUAGGGGGAAAAAAAAUUUAGGAAUUAAUUUCAAGGAAAAAAAAAAGAAAAAGAAAAUUACUUAUGUAGCCUAAUAGCUAAUCAACAUUGGCUUUACAACUAAUGUCACCAUUAAACACAUACACAUAUUAUUUUCCAUACGAGAUAACAAACCACUACAUCUAAAUAAUCCAUUUGAAUUAUUUGCACUAUAUAUUAAUCACCAAAGACUCCCGAAUCAUUCGCACUUGACAUAUUAUAAUAAUUUGUUGGUUCUAUUACAUAAAAUUAUAAUUUGACCAUGAAGGUAUAAUUGUUGGAUAAACCAUAAUGCAUGCUAUACCUACAAACUCCUAUGACUUGUAAUCAAUUGUUUCUUAUUCUUUGGAUUACCAAGUCAUUUUAUCGUAAUUUGAUUAAUUUAGAAAUGGAACAUAAGCUUACUUAGGUCAAUUUGGGAUAAGUUUUAUACAAAAUGUAAACUUCAAAUUCCUACACUAUUCCAGUUUAAGAUUAAAACAAUCUCAUAUUAAUGAAAAAUGAUUAGGACAUAGUGUUUAAUGGACUAAAUUUAGCAAUCAAAAUAUGGCAAAAGAAAUGGAGAAAAAUCAAACCAUACCUUUUCCAACCAAAAGAAAGGUUGUUGAAUUGGACUAUCAAUACAACCUUUUGAAUCUAUUCCUUGAAAAAGUGUCUCCACUUGAUUGCAUUUCCACAUAAUUAGUUGUUUCAAAUGUGGCCAUCUUGCAAUAUAUUUUCCUCGGGAGAAACCUUUGAGUUUGUCUAAUUCUUCAAGUAUGAGAGAGGUUAGUUUAGGGAAUAAUGAAGACAUUAUUUCAUCUCCAUUUUCGUUUGCAACAAUUUCCUCCACUCCACAUUUUCUUAUCCCAAGGACAUUAAAUUGCACAAGGCCUUUUGCUAUUGUUACAGGAAAAAGGCAUUUCAAGCAAGGACAAUCAACGAUACAUAAUGACCAUAGGUUUUGAAAGGAGACAAGUCCUUGAGGAUCCUUAUUCCAUACACUCUUCAAACUAUUUAGCCCUUUUAAAGACAAUUUUCCCAAUGGAAUGAUUUCCUCGCAAUUUACUCCCCCUAGAUCAAAAAUCUCUUCUAUCGAAUCACAAUAAUAUAUGUUCACAUUCUCCAGACUUUGUAACCCUUUUAGGAUAUUGGAUGGAAAAACAUUCAACAGUUUGUUGCAACUUAAUAUUUGUAAUCUUUUCAAUUUGCAACAAGACUCUAGAGGAAGUUGGUUGGGCCACAUUGCUAUCACAUUAUCCAACUCGUACAUCAACAAGGACUCCAAGCUAGGGAGUGUAACCUGCACAAUCGAUCACAUUCAGUUCACAAUAUGUAUACCCAUGUAUAUAUAUAUUCGCGAUUGAGUUAAUAACCAGAUACAUAAAUAAAUAGAAUAUAAGAGGUUAAAGGUCAAGAUAUCAAUGUGACAAAGCACCAAACUAGAAGAAAAUAAAAGAGAAUGCAUAAUAUUUUAACAAUUGAAUGGAAUUUAAAGAUGUUAAAUUUGAGAUGAUUUUCAAAUGGGGCAAAAGGCUCCCAAUCUUUGGAUCUCUUUUUCAAAAUUGACAAAGACUAAUGGAUUAUAUAUAGAUAUGUUUCAUAGUCUUAUGAGAAGUAUCUACUCUUUUUACCUUGAAUUGAUUUCAUUCAAAAUAUUCCACAUAAAUACAAUAAAAAUAACUAUUAAACAAGGUGGUUGAAGAUCAGGUGAUUUAGAUGAGGCCUUUCCUUCUAGUUUUUUCUUACUUUGGAAACCACAAAUGCAAUGGAUGCUCAGGCAUGAGCCUUCUUUCAUUAAUGAACCUAGCCUUUAGAUUCUUAAAGCUUGUUUGUUGGUGUAACAUAUAUAUAUAUAUAUUUGAGAACAACAUUUUUUUAAAUUUACAACAGUAUUUGAAAGUUGUUCUAUAAUCAAUUUUUAAAAAGAAAGUAAAAUAAAGAAUAGAUUUUAGAAAAUAAGUAGAAGUUACUUUCAUCUAUUUUUAAAAACAAAAGGAAACUAUCAACAAAUAAAAAAUAUAUAUUUAAAAAAAAUCAUUAAAAAAAUAAAGUUUAACAAAAUUUCAUGCCUCUAAAUUACACAAAUUUUUUCUAAAUUUCUUUUAACUUAAUUUUUUUUACUAUACAAAUAGAUUCUAAAUCAAGUUACAUUUAAUAUAUAUAUAUAUAUAUAUAUAUAUAUAUAUAUAUAUAUAUAUAUAUAUAUAUAUAUAUAUAUAUAUAAUUACUAAUUUUAAAAAAUAAUUUUAGAAUAAAAAAACUAAGGCAAUAAAUACUAGAAAAUCAUGGAACUUAAAAUCAAUCUAACAAAUAUUAAAAAAUAACAAUUUAAAUCUAAUCUUGAAUUACUUUAUCAAUUUCUUCUUUACAAUAACUAUUCAAUAGGUAAAUAAACCUCAAAUCAAGGAAGACUUGAUGUAUUGGAAUCUAGCAAGUUUAACAAUAAUUUAAAACUUUAAUACUAAUCUAAUGAAUACAAAAAAUUUAUGAAUGAAAAUUGGUUCAAAAGAACCAUAGACAAAUAAACUCUAAAUCAAAUAAGACUUAAUAUUUAGAUUCAUUACCAAGUCUAUUAAAUUUAAAAAGUAAUUUAUGAUUCAUAAAAUAACCCAAUCACCACUAGAAAUUCAACGACUAAAACUAGUCUAGAACAACUCUUUUUUUUACUUCUCCUCUAUACGUAAAUAUUUUGAUGAUUUUUUUGUUAGAAAAUAAAUUUUAAAUCAAACAAAACUUAAAAGUUUUAGAUUUAUUAAUGAGUGCACUCAUUUUUAAAAAUAAUCUUGAACUCAAAAAUAAGUUUAAACAAUAAUUGAAUAGAAUAGACCAAAACUAGUCCAAAAUGAGUCGAUGAGAGCUAUAUUGUUUCUCCUUCGCACCUUACCAUACUUUUCCAAUUUUUCUCAUUAAGUAAAUAAAUUAAAUAAAGUGAUAUCAAAACUUAAUGCUUUACAUACUGUAAUGAAUCUAUUAAUUUUUAAGAACAAGAUGGAAUUACAAAAAUUGACUGAAUAAAUUUUAAAUUGAAUCAAAAUUGGUUCAAAAUACUUUAUCCAUUAUUGAAUAUUGAAAAAUCUAACUUAUUUACAUAUAUAUAAAAAAAAUUAACAUUAAUUUUUAAUUUGUUUUAAAUAAAAUAUUAUUAAUUAUUAGUAUUUUUAAAUUAUAAUCAUUCAUUUUUAACAAAAAAUCAAUUAUGCAUUUGUAAAAAUGUUGAUAUCCAUAUUUUAUAAUUUAUAUUAAAAUGCCCCAAUUUCUAAAUUUUAAAAAAACUCAUGAUUUUAUUAUAAUAUUAGUAUCCAUAUUUUAUUACAAACCAUUUAUUUUGUUAAUUUAUUAGUAAUUAAAAAAAUUUAUUUCCAUAAGACUUGAAUUAAAUCGAAUUAAUAUUAUAUAAAUCAACUUUACAAAUUUUAUUUUUUUUUUUACAAAAUCUAAAUAUAACAUUUAUUUUUAAAAACAGCAAUAUUUAAUAAACGAACCAGGUUUUAAUCUUUUUGUUGUUUAAAAUGUGUUUCUCAAAACAUUUCAAACACUCUUUAUGUUGAGAACAAAAAAACAAGAAAAUUAUUUGGCAACUACCAAAAAAAAAUUCUGCUCUCCAAAACAAAAAACAUGUGUUUCAGCAUAUAUUUCAGUUAUUCUAAUUGUUUUCACUUACUUUUUUUGUUUAUUUAAAAAAAAUAAAACAAAUAUAAAGAAUAAUAAAAAAUAAAACAUUCCGCAUAAAAUUUAUUCUUAAAAAAUAUUUGAAAACAUAAAAAAUAAGUUGAAAACAUUGUAAAUUGUUAAUAUACCUAUCAAAAAAAAAAAUUUGUAAGUUAUUAAUGUACUCUACUCUAGAAAAACAUCAUAGAAUUAUUUUAAAAUUUGUUCUCAAAAAUUGAUUUUUGAAUAAUGUAUUUAAAUUGGUGUUGAAUUAAGAUUAGCAGAGAGACUAGGAAAGAAAAGGAAAGUGAUAAAAUUUAUGGGGCAAAGCAUACUGCAUCCAUAUUAUGGAUAAAAUUAAGAUAAUUUUAAAUUGAAUACUGGUUGUUUUAAUUUAUGUUUUCUCAUAUUUUACUUAUUUAUUAAUGGCAGAAAUUGGAUAUCAUUCAAAUUUUAACAUACCUGUUCAUUGAAGAAUGGUGUGGGAACAUCACUCGUACAUAACUCCUGGGUAGCACUGCUUCCUGUGGAGGAGAAGUCCCGUGUCGAAUCCAAGGAUCCCAUUUGACGAUUCACCCAUCGAUCCCUUCCUUGCUCCAUGGGAAGGAAAUUGAAAGAUUUCAACCUCUUACAAUCAUCCACUCUUAGAAAACGUGACUUCCCAAAAGAUCCCUCUGGAAUUGCGCCAUCUUCCUCUUCUUUGACCUCAUCAUCAUCAUCAUAAUCAUCAUCGUCGUUGACCUCAUCAUCAUCAUCUCCAAAAUCCCGUUCUUCAUAAUCCUGGGUAUACGGUACACAAAACAUCACAAUGGGUAGGAAUAAGGAAAAGUACAAUAAUGAAAGUUUAAAAAAGCAAUUAGGAUAGGAGCACAAAUAAUAGAAUGGUAGAUCAAACCACUACUAUAUUGUAUCCUUGUCUCCUCUAGAAGUGAUAAUGUAUUUAGCCCAAAAUCUUGAGCUAGAGUAGAACAACAUUUGAAAAAGACCCAUAAACAGCCUUAAGUCCUGGCAUGUUCUUUUAUCCACAAAUGAGAGUAAGAAUUUCAUAUAAUUGUCUACCUUUAACCUUUGACCAAAGGAAGGACAUCACUAUCAUUAUGAAGAAGUCAAUUGCCUAUCUCCAAAGAUUCAAUGUUUUUGUCAACAAAAUAAAAAAUUAUAAGUUGCAUGAUUAAAUGUCUACAAUAAGUGUCAAAGAAUGGACAGUCCUUAUAUAACUUACUACCCUUAAACGAUGUGUAUUCCAUCAUAAAAUUAAUUUUCGGUACUUUGAAACAAAUCUAAGCAAAAGAAAAUUUCUCUUUUCUUUGUACUUUUGCUUGUGACUAGCUGAAUUGAUAGUUUGUGAAACCCAAUACAAGUAUCAUUCACUCAAGGUUCUAACAAUACUUCAAUUUUCUAAUCUAAUUAAACUCCUUAACUCAAAAACCAAGUACAAAAGGAAAACAUUUUCUGUCUAACUUCCAAUACUAUCCUCAAUCAAACAUUAAAUAUCAAAGAAUUUUGAAAUUUCG
rnacentral:lncRNA from 1 species